rnacentral:rRNA from 1 species
UACAGAGGUGGCAAGCGUUGUUCGGAAUUACUGGGCGUAAAGGGCUCGUAGGCGGCCAACUAAGUCGGACGUGAAAUCCCCGGGCUUAACCUGGGAACUGCAGUCGAGACUGUCUAGCUAGAGUAUGGGAGAGGGAAGUGGAAUUUCAGGUGUAGCGGUGAAAUGCGUAGAUAUCUGAAGGAACAUCAGUGGCGAAAGCGACUUCCUGGACCAAUACUGACGCUCAUGUGCGAAAGCGUGGGGAGCAAACAGG